UACGGGGAAGGCAAGUGUUAUUCGUCGUUAUUGGGCGUAAAGGGUACGUAGAUUGUGUAAAUAACAUUUAAUUAAAGCCAAGAACUGUUCUUCUUGAGAAAUUAUUUGUAAAAUUUAUACUUAUUAAAAGAAAUUAAAGAGUAUUGCAUAGAUUAAUGGUAUUUUAAAGAAGAAAUGAAAUUCGAUGAUAAUAAAAGGACCACCUGUUGGCGAAAGCAAUUAAUUAGUGUUAUACUAACAUUGAGGUACAAAAGCAUGGGGAGCAAACAGGAUUAGAGACCCUGGUAGUCCAUGCUAUGACCGCUGAAUGUUCAAUAUCGAGUUUUUUUAAAUUCGGUGUUUUAGCUAACGCGUUAAACAUUCCGCCUGGGGACUACGAUC
rnacentral:rRNA from 1 species